rnacentral:lncRNA from 1 species
UGCGGAGGAAGGAGAAGGAGCUGUGUGGGGGACGCCACCCAUCCUGCCAGCCUCAGGCCGCAGCCCCUUCUCCAGGCUGGACCCCCAAGAACCCCCUUUUUCUGGACUCCUGGAACAACCGCGUCUCCCCCUUCACUUAAGUUUCCACGCUCCAGGACCUCACCACAAGCUUAACACAGGACGUCCCCUGGGAGCAGUAAGCCUGACCUAGAGCAGGCUGUCCUACAGACUGCACUUGACCGGUUCCCUGCUUACUUUGCCUUUGAUCGUUGCAACUCCUCAACUAGUUGGUAGGUUUAAAAAAUUUUUUGUUAUGAAAUAGUACAUAUAUAUAUAUAUAUACACACACACACAUAUUCACACACGGGAAUAAUAUAACCCAUUUAUAGCAGUUGUAAUGUGUCCUUCUAAUCUCUCUACUUUUUUAAAGGAACAAAACAUUAGAGCUUCAAGCUACGUUCCCACCUCCUCUCCCUUCCCUCUCCCAUGCUUAUCUCCUUUCACCACAUGCAAUUUUCCAUACGAAAUGUACACCAUUGUUUUAUGUGUUGUGAUUUAUGUCAAUGAUAUUAUUUUGCACCUUGCUGUUUUUCACUCACGACGUGUUCAUGAAUUAUUCAGGUUGAUGUGUGAGGACUUGGCUCAUUUAUUUUAAUUACUAUAAAAGUGCCCAUCAUAGAACUAGUUUCUUUAUCCUCUCCCGUCAGAGGAUUGCUUUCACUUACUUCUAAAAAUAGGAGUGCAGUGAAAAUCCUUGCACACGCCUUCUUUGUCCAUGCGGGAGAGUUUCUCCAGGGGCUUGCAGCCCCCUCGAGGACAGGGAUUAUAGCCUUCCUCCACACCAACCCUGUCCAGAAACGGGCACAGAGCAGGUUCUUGAUAUCUGGACGUUUGUUCGUUGAGUGAGUGAACUCAAUACACUCAAGACCACCCAGACAGCACAGGUAAGGUAACUUCUGCUAACAGCCGGCUCAGCAUCCACUCCCCUUUCCUGGCUAAUGGAGGAUGCCUCCCGAGUGGUAGACGGUUAUUGGCUUAAGCCAGUCAUAAUAAGCCGGCUCCUGCUUCCCCAGCUCCCCACGCCGCCCAGCUGCGGCCACUGAGAUUGAAGGGACAUCUGGCGGGGAGUCUCAGGGCGGGGGGGACUUUGAUCCCCAGACCAAAGGGGGCUCCCAGACUGUCCGCAAAGGCAGCCCCGAUAAGAUCUCCCGUACACACGCACCUUUGCAACGCGACCCUGCCGUUCCUCCGUUAAGAGGUAGAGUUUAUUUUUCACCUCUGUGACUGGCCUUGGGACUUGCUUUGUUUGACCAAAAUGUAGAGGAGGUGACAUUGUGGGACUUCCAAGCCUUUGAACGUCCAAGAACUUUAGCAGCAAAACCUUGCUCUCUUGCUUCUCUGAAACCACCAUGCAAGAAAGCCCGGUGAGCCUGCUUGAGCAGGAGGAGGGCCAGAGAGGAAAUAUUUUAGGCUCCGUGGGCCGUACGGUCUCCAUCACCACAACUCUGCUGCCGUAGCCCGAAAGCAGACAUAGAUCAUCUGGGAGAGAAUGGAUGGCCAGGUUCCCAUAUAUCUUUACAAAAUCAGGCAGCGGGGCCUCAGAGAAUGAGAGAGCAUCUGAGGGAGACAGUUUGCUAUUGCUGCCAUACUAGAAUACCACAAACGCAGAGGCUUAACACGGAUUUAUUAUCUUACAGUUCUGGAGGUCAGAGAUCCAAGAUGGGUCUUACAAGGGUAAAAUCAAGGUGUCAGCGGGGUUGUUCUUUCUGGACGUUUUAGGGAAGGGUCCAUUCCUUGACUAGUCUAGCUGGUAGAGGCCACCCACACUCCUUGGCUAGCGGUGUCCCCCCCCCCAGCCAUGACAAUCCUCUGACCUCUACUUCUGUCAUUGUAUCUCCCACUGCCAGCAUCCAGUGCCAGACUUGUGAGCAAGGCCAUCUUGG